CAGCUGUUUCUGGGAUUCUCUGAAAACCCAAGCUGGGCAGCACCCAUAAGCCAGAAGAGACCCAAGUUUCUGAUACAUUGUCUCUGACUCUGACUGCCUCGUGGAGCAGACCUUCCUGGAGUUUCCCAGGCAGAAAAGAUGAAACUGAGAGAGAGGACAUGAAAGAUGGAUUUGUUGAUCCUGUCCUGAAGUCUUGGCUAUGAAAUAAGAUGGGA
rnacentral:lncRNA from 1 species